rnacentral:rRNA from 1 species
ACCCGCUGAACUUAAGCAUAUCAAUAAGCGGAGGAAAAGAAACCAACAGGGAUUGCCCUAGUAACGGCGAGUGAAGCGGCAACAGCUCAAAUUUGAAGUCUGGCUCUUUUAGAGUCCGAGUUGUAAUUUGCAGAGGGCGCUUUGGCGUUGGCAGCGGUCCAAGUUCCUUGGAACAGGACGUCACAGAGGGUGAGAAUCCCGUACGUGGUCGCUGGCCUUCGCCGUGUAAAGCCCCUUCGACGAGUCGAGUUGUUUGGGAAUGCAGCUCUAAAUGGGAGGUAAAUUUCUUCUAAAGCUAAAUACUGGCCAGAGACCGAUAGCGCACAAGUAGAGUGAUCGAAAGAUGAAAAGCACUUUGGAAAGAGAGUCAAACAGCACGUGAAAUUGUUGAAAGGGAAGCGCUUGCAGCCAGACUUGCCUGUAGUUGCUCAUCCGGGCUUUUGCCCGGUGCACUCUUCUAUAGGCAGGCCAGCAUCAGUUUGGGCGGUUAGAUAAAGGUCUCUGUCAUGUACCUCUCUUCGGGGAGAACUUAUAGGGGAGACGACAUGUAACCAGCCCAGAUUGAGGUCCGCGCAUUUGCUAGGAUGCUGGCGUAAUGGCUGU